CGCCCUCUGUUCUGCUUCCUUCCGGCGAGCAGCGUCGGCGUCGGCAGGGUAAGCGAAUUGUACGCUGUAGUAGAGGUCGGGCUGCUCUU
rnacentral:sRNA from 1 species